GAUGAACGCUGGCGGCGUGCCUAAUACAUGCAAGUCGAGCGAACGGACGAGAAGCUUGCUUUUCUGAUGUUAGCGGCGGACGGGUGAGUAACACGUGGAUAACCUACCUAUAAGACUGGGAUAACUUCGGGAAACCGGAGCUAAUACCGGAUAAUAUUUUGAACCGCAUGGUUCAAAAGUGAAAGACGGUCUUGCUGUCACUUAUAGAUGGAUCCGCGCUGCAUUAGCUAGUUGGUAAGGUAACGGCUUACCAAGGCAACGAUGCAUAGCCGACCUGAGAGGGUGAUCGGCCACACUGGAACUGAGACACGGUCCAGACUCCUACGGGAGGCAGCAGUAGGGAAUCUUCCGCAAUGGGCGAAAGCCUGACGGAGCAACGCCGCGUGAGUGAUGAAGGUCUUCGGAUCGUAAAACUCUGUUAUUAGGGAAGAACAUAUGUGUAAGUAACUGUGCACAUCUUGACGGUACCUAAUCAGAAAGCCACGGCUAACUACGUGCCAGCAGCCGCGGUAAUACGUAGGUGGCAAGCGUUAUCCGGAAUUAUUGGGCGUAAAGCGCGCGUAGGCGGUUUUUUAAGUCUGAUGUGAAAGCCCACGGCUCAACCGUGGAGGGUCAUUGGAAACUGGAAAACUUGAGUGCAGAAGAGGAAAGUGGAAUUCCAUGUGUAGCGGUGAAAUGCGCAGAGAUGUGGAGGAACACCAGUGGCGAAGGCGACUUUCUGGUCUGUAACUGACGCUGAUGUGCGAAAGCGUGGGGAUCAAACAGGAUUAGAUACCCUGGUAGUCCACGCCGUAAACGAUGAGUGCUAAGUGUUAGGGGGUUUCCGCCCCUUAGUGCUGCAGCUAACGCAUUAAGCACUCCGCCUGGGGAGUACGACCGCAAGGUUGAAACUCAAAGGAAUUGACGGGGGCCCGCACAAGCGGUGGAGCAUGUGGUUUAAUUCGAAGCAACGCGAAGAACCUUACCAAAUCUUGACAUCCUUUGACAACUCUAGAGAUAGAGCCUUCCCCUUCGGGGGACAAAGUGACAGGUGGUGCAUGGUUGUCGUCAGCUCGUGUCGUGAGAUGUUGGGUUAAGUCCCGCAACGAGCGCAACCCUUAAGCUUAGUUGCCAUCAUUAAGUUGGGCACUCUAAGUUGACUGCCGGUGACAAACCGGAGGAAGGUGGGGAUGACGUCAAAUCAUCAUGCCCCUUAUGAUUUGGGCUACACACGUGCUACAAUGGACAAUACCAAGGGCAGCGAAACCGCGAGGUCAAGCAAAUCCCAUAAAGUUGUUCUCAGUUCGGAUUGUAGUCUGAAACUCGACUACAUGAAGCUGGAAUCGCUAGUAAUCGUAGAUCAGCAUGCUACGGUGAAUACGUUCCCGCCUCU
rnacentral:rRNA from 1 species